AACGAACGCUGGCGGCAUGCCUAACACAUGCAAGUCGAACGAUAACUUCGGGUCUAGUGUCGCACGGGUGCGUAACGCGUGGGAACCUGCCCUUAGCUUCGGAACAACUUCCCGAAAGGGGUGCUAAUAUCGGAUAAUUACUUCGUACCAAGGAUUUGUCCCCUUUGGAUGGGGCCGAGCUGCGUUAGUUAGUGGGUAGGGUGAAAGCCUACCGAGGCGACGAGACAUAGCUGGUAUGAGAGGAUGAUCAGCCACACUGGGACUGGGACACGGCCCAGACUCGUGCGGGAGGCGGGAAAGGGUGAUAUAGGAAAGUGGGCGGGAGGCAGAACCACCACGGGCGGGUGAGUGAUGAAGGCGUUGGGGUUGGAAAGCUCUUUUAACCGGGAUGAUAAUGACGGUACCGGGAGAAUAAGCACCGGCUAACUCCGUG
rnacentral:rRNA from 1 species